rnacentral:rRNA from 1 species
AGGAGAGUUUGAUCCUGGCUCAGGAUGAACGCUAGCGGCAGGCUUAACACAUGCAAGUCGCGGGGCAGCGCGGGUAGCAAUACCUGGCGGCGACCGGCGGAAGGGUGCGUAACGCGUGAGCAACAUGCCCGUAUCAGGGGGAUAACCGAUGGAAACGUCGCCUAAUACCCCAUAACAACGAGGGUUGCAUGACCCAUGUUUGAAAGUUACGGCGGAUACGGAUUGGCUCGCGUGACAUUAGCUAGUUGGCGGGGUAACGGCCCACCAAGGCUACGAUGUCUAGGGGUUCUGAGAGGAAGGUCCCCCACACUGGAACUGAGACACGGUCCAGACUCCUACGGGAGGCAGCAGUGAGGAAUAUUGGUCAAUGGGCGCAAGCCUGAACCAGCCAUGCCGCGUGCAGGAAUGAGGCCCUAUGGGUCGUAAACUGCUUUUGCUGCGGAGCAAUAAGUGCUACGUGUAACACGAUGAGAGUACGCAGCGAAUAAGCAUCGGCUAACUCCGUGCCAGCAGCCGCGGUAAUACGGAGGAUGCGAGCGUUAUCCGGAUUUAUUGGGUUUAAAGGGUGCGUAGGCUGUUCGUCAAGUCAGUGGUGAAAUGCCGGGGCUCAACCCCGGAGCUGCCAUUGAUACUGUCGGGCUUGAAUCCUGCUGCCGUGGGAGGAAUGAGUAGUGUAGCGGUGAAAUGCAUAGAUAUUACUCAGAACACCGAUUGCGAAGGCAUCUCACGAAACAGGCAUUGACGCUGAGGCACGAAAGCGUGGGGAUCAAACAGGAUUAGAUACCCUGGUAGUCCCCU